GAUGAACGCUGGCGGCGUGCCUAAUACAUGCAAGUCGAGCGAACAGACGAGGAGCUUGCUCCUCUGACGUUAGCGGCGGACGGGUGAGUAACACGUGGAUAACCUACCUAUAAGACUGGGAUAACUUCGGGAAACCGGAGCUAAUACCGGAUAAUAUAUUGAACCGCAUGGUUCAAUAGUGAAAGACGGUUUUGCUGUCACUUAUAGAUGGAUCCGCGCCGCAUUAGCUAGUUGUAAGGUAACGGCUUACCAAGGCAACGAUGCGUAGCCGACCUGAGAGGGUGAUCGGCCACACGGGAACUGGGACACGGUCCAGACUCCUACGGGAGGCAGCAGUAGGGAAUCUUCCGCAAUGGGCGAAAGCCUGACGGAGCAACGCCGCGUGAGUGAUGAAGGUCUUCGGAUCGUAAAACUCUGUUAUUAGGGAAGAACAAAUGUGUAAGUAACUAUGCACGUCUUGACGGUACCUAAUCAGAAAGCCACGGCUAACUACGUG
rnacentral:rRNA from 1 species